rnacentral:rRNA from 1 species
GAUUGUAGUCUGCAACCGACUACAUGAAGCUGGAAUCGCUAGUAAUCGUGGAUCAGAAUGCCGCGGUGAAUACGUUCCCGGGUCUUGUACACACCGCCCGUCACACCAUGGGAGCCGGUAACGCCCGAAGUCAGCGACCCAACCGAGAGGAGGGAGCUGCCGAAGGCGGGACAGGUAACUGGGGUGAAGUCGUAACAAGGUAGC